rnacentral:lncRNA from 1 species
GCAGGAGGAGAAUGGACUGGGGAAGGAGAGCGCUUGAAAGAGCUCGGACCGACCUGCUGCUGUCUCAUCAGCUCUAUCUGCACUAUCUGCUCCAUCAUCUAGGUCUGGAGUAGUUGGUACUCAUCGACGCAUGUAGCCAACUCAUCAGCUCACUGCUCAGUCCGCUGUCGAUUCUCAGUAGCCUGCCUUUAUAUCUCCACC